UACGGAGGGUGCGAGCGUUGUCCGGAAUCAUUGGGCGUAAAGGGCGCGUAGGUGGCCCGCUAAGUCGAACGUGAAAUCCCCGAGCUCAACUCGGGAACUGCGUCCGAUACUGGUGGGCUUGAAUCCGGGAGAGGGAUGCGGAAUUCCAGGUGUAGCGGUGAAAUGCGUAGAUAUCUGGAGGAACACCGGUGGCGAAGGCGGCAUCCUGGACCGGCAUUGACGCUGAGGCGCGAAAGCUAGGGGAGCAAACGGG
rnacentral:rRNA from 1 species